GUCUGCAGCGACCACUUCAUCAGAGGGUGCCCUAGCGCUUUGGGUGACGUUGAGUCGGUAGACUGGGCUCCCACUGUUAGCCUCGGUUACCACACAACAAGUAAGCCCAGAUCAGAGGCAUCUCUUCGACGAGAGCAGAGGAUGGAGCUCAAGGAAGACCAACAAAGACAAUCAGAAUGUGCAGAGGCUUUGUUGGAUCUCCUGCAGACAACCGAGAGCCCAGAACCGACGCAGCCCCCGUCUGACAGCCCACAACCAGAGGACACCAGUGGGAUAUGAAAUGACCAACAAGAUGCAGGAUGCCAGACUGAUUUAACGAUGGAGGACAUCGAGAGGAUGGAGGAUGUUCUGAGACAGAACACAACAGAGCUGGGAGAUCUUCGGACAAAGGCACUGGACACAAAGUUCAACCAGGAGUCCUUUGAGAACAACGAAGAGAAGACAAAGUUUUACACCGGGCUCCCCAACUUCUUAGUUUUACUUCAGGUUUUUCAACUGUGCGAGCCCUACAUCACCU